GAUGAACGCUGGCGGCGUGCUUAACACAUGCAAGUCGAACGAAGCACUGUAUUUGAUUUCCUUCGGGACUGAUUAUUUUGUGACUGAGUGGCGGACGGGUGAGUAACGCGUGGGUAACCUGCCUUGUACAGGGGGAUAACAGUUGGAAACGGCUGCUAAUACCGCAUAAGCGCACAGCAUCGCAUGAUGCCGUGUGGACAACUCCGGUGGUAUAAGAUGGACACUCGUUGGAUUAGCUAGUUGGUGAGGUAACGGCCCACCAAGGCGACGAUCCAUAGCCGACCUGAGAGAGUGACCGGCCACACUGACACUGAGAAGCGGCACAGACUCCUACGGGAUGCAGCAGUGGGUAACAUUGCAAAAUCGGCUAAAGGCUGAUGCAGCUACGCCGCGUGAGCUAAGAAGUAUUUCGGUAUGUAAUGCUCUAGCAGCAGGGAAGAUAAUGACGGUACCUGACCAGGAAGCACCGGCUAAAUACGUG
rnacentral:rRNA from 1 species